UGCAACAGUGAGCAAAACAGAUUCCUGGCUCUCGUGGGAAAGAGAUAGUCAGCCAAUAGGCAAGCAAGCAUGGAAAAACAUCAGAAGAGACCAUGUCUGGAAAACAGGCAAAGCAAAAGAUUGACAUAAUAUGUUGUUUUGCAAGACCCACGGGAGAAGAGCAUAAAGCCAGUGUUCCUUUGAGAAGUAGGCAGAUUGGUCCAAGUGCAUCUAUAAACUGUAACCACCCACACAUACCAUUCCAAAGGCAGUGCCUAAGACAAAAAGCACAGUCUAGAAGAUUCCCAUUAGUGCAGAUAAAAGUGUGGACUGAGUUGAUAACAUGAAAAAAUUAGCAGGCGAGACAGUGCAGUAGCAGUGAUGACACAUGACCGACGCGGCGAGGUGCCAGAGCCGUCAGGUGGUUUGGACUCCCUGGAUGGCUAACCAGAACCUUCCUGCCCUGAAUCAGGACUCCCUCACUGACUUGCUCCAUGGAAGACCCCAUGGGGGAUGCUCUCUAUCCCCACAAUGAAGAGAUGUCUCAGCAGAGAGUUUGGAUCCCCAGAACCACUGUAAGGCCAUUUACCAGCCACCAGAGCACCAUCUGCUGCUGGAGACCAGUCAGGAAUUGAGUGGCAUGCAGAAGACUGAAGAGUUGGCUCUCCCAGCAGCAGGCUGGCUUGAGCUCUUCAUGUGAAGGGUAAAGGGGGCGUGAGGAGAGAGCACAGGAGAGGAAUGGCAGGUGAGCAUGCACACCUUUACACGCAUGGUAACUGAAGUAAGUUCCCUGCUCCCUUUAGGCAGAAGAGAACCCCCCCAAUUCUCUGGCUAAAAUAAUAUACCAAAUGAGGAUAUGUAACUGUAUGCAGUUUUGAGAAAUACCCAAAUGUGUAUGUGAACUUUCCCCCUCCCUCUUCAAACAUCUAAGUUAGUUCAGAGUUAUGGUUAGAGUCUAUAAAACUGGUCAUGUGAUUUUGAAAGUCAGUUCAAGAAGUGG